GUAAGGUUUUUCAUUUUCAUAUUAAAAUUUUGUGUAUUAAUGUGGCUAAUGUAAGGACCUGAAUAAGAACGGGCCAUUGGGCCCUAAUUAGAGGCAGUCAGACCCAUCAGACUAAGGGCACAUGAUCUUAGAAGAGAUUUUUUUUCCAAAGUACUAAUUUUCCACUCUCUCUCUAAAAACCCUUAUCCUAAAUAUUGCUCUGUCUUCUCUCUAAAUACCACUCUGUUGAACCGUCCAAUCUUUGGUAAAGAAGGUACCUAAACACUCCUAAUGUAGAGGGCUUCAUUCUGAACCGAUUACUUUCUUUGUCUCCUUCCGGGUGUUGUUGUGCUCCGUUGGGUGGGUACUGUCUUAAGGCACUCGUAACAAGAGGUACUGUCAAGCUUUCCAGAUGGCGUGGAGAUGGCGUGGAGGACACCUUGGAAACAACUCUUAAUGGAGAUGGAAAUGCCGCUGCCUAGUUCAUUUGACUUUACUUUUCUUAGUCUUAGAUAUUUUGAAUAACUUUAUUUGUUAUGUUUAAAGUUUUAAAUUCCUAUCCUUUUUAGGAGAACUCUAUUUCUCCAAAUUCCUAAAUUCCUGUAUUGCUUAAAGAUGACUAUAAUUCUAAUUGUCUCUAGCAUACUCUAACUGCUUUCAAUUAUUAUAUAUA